rnacentral:rRNA from 1 species
CGCGUGGGUAACCUGCCCUUUUGUGGGGAACAACUUCGAGAAAUCGGAGCUAAUACCGCAUAAUAAUAGAGGAUCGCAUGAUUCUUUAAGGAAAGAUGGCCUCUGAAGAUGCUAUCGCAAAAGGAUGGACCCGCGUCUGAUUAGCUAGUUGGAAGGGUAACGGCCUACCAAGGCAAUGAUCAGUAGCCGGCCUGAGAGGGCGACCGGCCACAUUGGGACUGAGACACGGCCCAAACUCCUACGGAAGGCAGCAG